ensembl:lncRNA
CACCUUGGACACCUGGUCUAGACUCCGUCCAAGUGGUAGGAGAAGCCAGCUUUGGUGGGGCAUUUAGGAGGAGCCUCUGCAGACACCUGUAGGGCCUGAUUUCACUGGGUGCCCACAAACAUUUGGCACUGUUCUGCACCCCAUGGGGCUUCAAUACUCUGCCUUCCCUGGGGAGGGCCUGAAGCACCCUCCUGGGUCCUGCGUGGAGUAGGGGCAACCCCCACAUUCUGCUACUCUUUGGAGGCCUCUGGAAGCAGCCCCAAGAGGUAUUGAGUGACCUUGCUCUAGUCCACCCUGGGCUCUACCUCCAAGCCCUCAAGACUCCUUCCCACCUGUAACCACUGGGCUUGCUUCUGCAAACUACUGCUUCGUAAUGACACAGACUAUAGACGUGCUUCUGAACUGCACUGACCGCCAGCUCCGUUGGGCAGAGCUCCCUCUCGGGCCGAGGUCCUCCCAGAGCAGGUGGGUGGGACACCAGAAUUUGUCUUUCUGUGACUUAGCAUAAUGUCCUCAAGCUUCAUCCAUGUGGUAGCAUGUGACAGGACGUCCUUCCUUUUUAAGCCCUGCACGCAUAGAACACACUUGGUGCAUCCGUUCAUCUGUCGAUGGGUAUCUGGGCUGCUUCCGCCUCUUGGUUAUUGUGAAUACAGCUGUUGUGAAUAUUGGGUGCAAAUAUCUCUUUGAGGCCCUUCUUUCAAUCCUUCUGAAUGUACACCUGGAAGUGAGAUUGCUGGGUCAAAUGGUAGUUUUAUUUCUAACUUUUUGAGGCACCACCAUGCUAUACCCCACCGUGGCUCAGCACUGUACAUUUCCACCACCAGGGCACGGGGCUCCUGUUUCUCCACAUCCCCACCAACACUUAUUUCCUGCUGUUUUGGGAGCAGCCAUCCUAUGAAGUGUGAGACGGCAUCUCGUUGUGUGAUUUCCAUUUCUCUGACCAUGAGCGAUGCUGAGCAUCUUUUCAUGUACCUGUGGCCAUCAGUGUGGCAUCCUUGGACAGGAUCAGUUUCAAGCACGGGGAUGCGGCAUAAGCAUGAUGAACCCUGGCCUUCCCUGGGCAUCCACUCCACUAGGCAAAAACAAAUCGAGAGUACGACCGACCACAACAGCGCGUCAUGUGAUGACAGACGCUACAGUGAACCUCCAGGUGAAGAUAACUUACAGCCAACUUGUCUACGAGAGUUGUUUCUGAGAGUUAGAAUUUGGGAGAAAUUUCCCAUGCAUACAGAGUAGCUCUAAGUGAAAUUCCUGAAGAUGAGGACAAGGAGGCGGCACGUGGAUUGCGCUGAAUUUAACAGCAGCAAACCCAGAGCUGAGUCUUCAAGGCAUCUACACCUGCUGUUCCCUGGGGUGGGGGGUGGGGGUACGACCAGUCAGUAGACACCCAUUCUUGGAGAAGAAAAAUACAAAGAUACAAAAAUACAAAGAUCUGGCAUCUUUCUCAGAUCACCUCAGCUCCCAGGUCCGACCUUACUAGCCGGUGUUAAGGAGAGGAAACUAGCUAGGUCUUCCCACAGCUGUUCUCAAACCGCUGGUCUAGGGAUGGGAGGAGAGGCUCACAGUGGACGGAGAGACUGGGAAGGUCAUGAAUGAAGAUGCCAUAGAGACAAGACACGAGGCGACCCCAGGUUCCACAGAGGAGCUUCCAAGAAAUGUUUCUUCUAGCAUCACGGGUUCAGAACCUCCGAGGCUGAGCAGCAGAUCCAGAGAGAAGAGAGAGAAAGUUGACCUCCCUUGGUUGGCAUGUUCUUCCUUGGGGGUUUACACUCAGCGUGGCCCUGUGGCUGGGAAGCCAAAGGACUGGGGUCAAACCCAGGGUGACUUGUUUAAAAAUGGUCACUGGCUGUGUCUCAUGGACCAGGUGCCUUUGCGGGUUUAGAGACACAACAUGGGGGUGGGGGGCAACGCUUCCUUCAUGUUGGUCCCUGUCUAAAGGUGAAGUCGGUGUGCCAAGCAGAGGUUACGAAGUGGAAGGACGGCGCUCCCACCAGAAUGAUCCAGAUCCAAGGGUCAGGGGGCAGCCCAGACUAGGCCUGAUGCCCAGCUGCCCCAGAGCGAUGCAAGAGGGAGACCCUAAGGACCCUCCAGCUCCCACCAGCUCCUCAUUUUAGAAGUGAGGGAGAUACGAGGAAGAUAAGCAAGUGGCCAACAAGCACAUGGGAAGAUGAGUUCGACCUCAGGAAGAGGGAAAUGCAAAUCAAAACCACCAUGAGAUGCUGCCGCAUGCCCAUCAGGGUGACUACUGUUGUAAAACAAGCAAAAUAACAAGUGUUGGCGAGCAUGUGGAGAAAUUGGAAUCCCUGAGCGCUGUUGGUGGGGGUGCAAAAUGGCGCAAACGCUGUGGGAAAACGAUGGAGUUCUCUCUGAAAAUUAAAAAUAGAAUUAUUUUUAAAAAAAAUAGAAUUAUUGUAUGACCCAGCGAUUCUCCUUGUGGGUAGACACUCAAUUGAAAACAUGUUGGGUGCAGAGAUUACUAAAAAUAAACACAUAAAAAAUGGUUAAGAUGGUAAAAUU